rnacentral:lncRNA from 1 species
UUUUCACUUUUCCAUGCAAUUUGGGGCUGGGGAUCAUGUAACAGCUUUGCUGCAUGUGAUUCAUCUGGUUCUUCUUCCAAAAAUUUCUAGUUUCUUUUAGAUCCUAAGAACCCUUUCUAUCUACAAUUGUCUACCCAUAAGUAAUUCUUGCUUUUCUUUAAGGAUCAAGAGAAAGGGGGAAAAUUCUUCUGGACCGUGCUACCAAUUGAAGGUAAGGGGAGCUAGAUACUAUUUUUCAUUGUUUGUAUGAACUGUGCAUGUAUUGAAAUCUUUAUUAUUUUCUAGUUUGAUGAAUAAUUAUGUUUUGGUGUGAAAGUAUGUUGUAGGUAAUUGAAUGAGAAAUUGCGAAACUAUG